AGUACCCUACAGUAAAGUGAUGCUCUUAUUUUAGUAAUUAAAAUGAUUCUCUUUUCUCCUUCUUGAUCAGCUGGAGAUAAUGAUGAUAAUAAUAAUUAUGGUGGUGAUGAUGGUGAUGAUGGUGAUGAUGAUGAAGGUCAGGACAGACUGUCUGUAGGACUGAAGCCAACUGAAGGAAGAUGCACUAAAUCAAUGGAAUUACCUCCGCCAAUGGGUAAUACUAAUUAUUCUAUUAUUAGCUGCUGUUCAGUGAAUUAUUUACUGAGAUUAAGAGAUGCAGAAAAUGAGUAAUAUUAUUUUUUAUUUAGCUGGUGAUGAUGAUGAUGAUGAUGGUGAUGAUGGUCAGAACAGACUGGUUGCAGGACUGACUCCAGCUAAACAAAGCUGGAAUUCCAGGAAUGUCUCCACUCCCAAUCUGGCUUUGAUGAGCUUUGAUGAGUAAAGAAGUGAAAAUUCAGCGAAAGAUCCAUUACUCACCUGCAGUGCCUCGCACCAAU
rnacentral:lncRNA from 1 species